rnacentral:rRNA from 1 species
CAAGGAUUCCCCUAGUAACUGCGAGUGAAGCGGGAAAAGCUCAAAUUUAAAAUCUGGCGGCCUUUGGCUGUCCGAGUUGUAGUCUGGAGAAGUGCUUUCCGCGCUGGACCGUGUAUAAGUCUCUUGGAACAGAGCGUCAUAGAGGGUGAGAAUCCCGUCUUUGACACGGACUACCAGUGCUUUGUGAUGCGCUCUCAAAGAGUCGAGUUGUUUGGGAAUGCAGCUCAAAAUGGGUGGUGAAUUCCAUCUAAAGCUAAAUAUUGGCGAGAGACCGAUAGCGAACAAGUACCGUGAGGGAAAGAUGAAAAGCACUUUGGAAAGAGAGUUAAACAGUACGUGAAAUUGCUGAAAGGGAAACGCUUGAAGUCAGUCGCGUCGUCCGGAACUCAGCCUUGCUUUUGCUUGGUGCACUUUCCGGAUGACGGGUCAGCAUCGAUUUCGACCGUCGGAAAAGGGCUGGAGUAAUGUGGCACCUCCGGGUGUGUUAUAGACUCUGGUCGCAUACGGCGGUUGGGAUCGAGGAACGCAGCGCGCCGCAAGGCAGGGGUUCGCCCACUUUCGCGCUUAGGAUGCUGGCAUAAUGGCUUUAAACGACCCGUCUUGAAACACGGACCAAGGAGUCUAACAUACCUGCAAGUGUUUGGGUGGAAAACCCGAGCGCGUAAUGAAAGUGAAAGUUGAGAUCCCUGUCGUGGGGAGCAUCGACGCCCGGACCAGACGUUCUCUGACGGAUCCGCGGUAGAGCAUGUAUGUUGGGACCCGAAAGAUGGUGAACUAUGCCUGAAUAGGGUGAAGCCAGAGGAAACUCUGGUGGAGGCUCGUAGCGAUUCUGACGUGCAAAUCGAUCGUCAAAUUUGGGUAUAGGGGCGAAAGACUAAUCGAACCAUCUAGUAGCUGGUUCCUGCCGAAUU